rnacentral:rRNA from 1 species
UACGGAGGGUGCAAGCGUUAAUCGGAAUUACUGGGCGUAAAGCGUGCGCAGGCGGUUUGUUAAGUCUGUUGUGAAAUCCCCGAGCUCAACUUGGGAAUUGCAAUGGAUACUGGCAAGCUGGAGUAUGGUAGAGGAAGGUGGAAUUCCCGGUGUAGCAGUGAAAUGCGUAGAGAUCCGGAAGAACACCGGUGGCGAAGGCGGUUAGCUGGGCAGUUGCUGACACUGAGGCGCGACAGCGUGGGGAGCAAACAGG